rnacentral:rRNA from 1 species
GACGAACGCUGGCGGCGUGCCUAAUACAUGCAAGUAGAACGCUGAAGGAGGAGCUUGCUUCUCUGGAUGAGUUGCGAACGGGUGAGUAACGCGUAGGUAACCUGCCUGGUAGCGGGGGAUAACUAUUGGAAACGAUAGCUAAUACCGCAUAAGAUUGACUAUUGCAUGAUAGUCAGUUAAAAGGUGCAAUUGCAUCACUACCAGAUGGACCUGCGUUGUAUUAGCUAGUUGGUGGGGUAACGGCUCACCAAGGCGACGAUACAUAGCCGACCUGCGAGGGUGAUCGGCCGCCCUGGGACUGAGACACGGCCCAGACUGCUACGGGAGGCAGCAGUAGGGAAUCUGCGGCAAUGGACGGAAGUCUGACCGAGCAACGCGGCGGGAGUGAAGAAGGUUGUCGGAUCGUAAAGCUCUGUUGUAAGAGAAGAACGAGUGUGAGAGUGGAAAGUUCACACUGUGACGGUAUCUUACCAGAAAGAGACGGCUAACUACGUG